UGGGGAAUUUUUCGCAAUGGGGGAAACCCUGACGAAGCAACGCCGCGUGGAGGAUGAAGGCCUUCGGGUCGUAAACUCCUGUCGACCGGGACGAACGCUAUUGGGCCCAAUACGCCCGAUAGUCGACUGUACCGGUGGAGGAAGCCACGGCUAACUCUGUGCCAGCAGCCGCGGUAAUACAGAGGUGGCAAGCGUUGUUCGGAAUUACUGGGCGUAAAGGGCGCGUAGGCGGUCUUGUCAGUCCCUUGUGAAAUCCCCCGGCUCAACUGGGGAACUGCACGGGAAACAGCAGGGCUUGAGUUCGGGAGAGGGAAGCGGAAUUCCGGGUGUAGCGGUGAAAUGCGUAGAUAUCCGGAGGAACACCGGUGGCGAAGGCGGCUUCCUGGACCGAUACUGACGCUGAGGCGCGAAAGCUAGGGGAGCAAACGG
rnacentral:rRNA from 1 species